CUGGUUCUGGUCCUCGUGUUUAACCCAGCAACAAAAUGCUAACCAGGACGGUGAGCGUUUGGAGAGAGGGAGGCAAGAAACACAGCUUCCUGCAGUCGAAUGCAGUACCCCGAGGAAUUCCCCCCACUUUCGGGGACCUCAACUCAGGCCGAACAGCAUAGACGGGCUCAAACUCGGUUCCUUGGGCUCCCUGGGAAUGCCUUUAUGAGCUCAGUCAUCCAGCGGACCCAGAUGUUGUGGACUGCACUGGAAUUCCAGCUUCUCAGCUCACAGGAGGCUUCACCAGACUCCAGGGAGGGCUCCCCCUCUGUCUACCCGGGUAAUAACUGAUAACUGGGCAGGACUUAGGAUCACCCAGGAGACACAUUUCUGACCACGCCUGGAGGAUUUCUAAAUUGGGUGAACCGGUGUGACCCACCACGAGUGUAGAUCGCACUCUAGCAAAUCUGUGCAGCUGGGCGUCCUUCACAUGCACGCGCUGUGGGCGGGGCCACCAAGGCCUGUAAAGUCCUGUGUGCACAGACCGGGCCCUCUCUACGGUGUCCACUGGAGGGCAGCACCUUCUCCACAAAGGCGGCUGAGUCGGCUGCCCCUCCCUCCAGCCUCUGGCCUGACCUUGUUUGUACAGCUACCCUGAGCCUUUCAGAAGAUUCUGGCUCUGGUGACAGGAGCACGCACUGGGUGUGCUCUGGAAGAGCCCUGGCUAUUUCUGAAGGACGGCCAGCUUCUCAAGGGCUCUCAGUCCCUAUUGCGCUACCCACAGGCAGCUCUGAACACUGAAACCUCAGGGCCUGCCUGCGCCCUCCUGGCUCCUGUCCCCCAGGCUGUCCCCUUGGAGGAGGAGGUAGCCUGGUGACUUUCUCCCCUCUGAUUGAAUGAAACUGGUUUCCUGACUUUAAAGGACUUGACUCCCAGACGCCCCUGCGAGAACAUUUUUCAGAAAACAAAGUUGACCUCAGAAAUUUGGUUUGAAAAUAAGUGUUAUCCUCAAAUUACCAGCAGAAAUCCCCCACCCCACCCCACCCCACCCCACCCUGGCCCUCGUUUGGGUUGUUUUCAAACAAUUUCUGCUAUGAUGUUUGUAACAGGGAAGGCGAGAAUCAUAAAUUAGCAAGUUAUAGCACCAUUA